CAACAGGGAUUGCCUCAGUAACGGCGAGUGAAGCGGCAACAGCUCAAAUUUGAAAUCUGGCUCUCGGGCCCGAGUUGUAAUUUGUAGAGGAUGCUUUUGGUGCGGUGCCUUCCGAGUUCCCUGGAACGGGACGCCAUAGAGGGUGAGAGCCCCGUCUGGUUGGACGCCAAUCCUCUGUAAAGCUCCUUCGACGAGUCGAGUAGUUUGGGAAUGCUGCUCUAAAUGGGAGGUAUAUGUCUUCUAAAGCUAAAUACCGGCCAGAGACCGAUAGCGCACAAGUAGAGUGAUCGAAAGAUGAAAAGAACUUUGAAAAGAGAGUUAAAAAGUACGUGAAAUUGUUGAAAGGGAAGCGCUUGUGACCAGACUUGGGCUUGGUUGAUCAUCCAGGGUUCUCCCUGGUGCACUCUUCCGGCCCAGGCCAGCAUCAGUUCGCCCCGGGGGAAAAAGGCUUCGGGAAUGUGGCUCUCUCCGGGGAGUGUUA
rnacentral:misc_RNA from 1 species